rnacentral:ncRNA from 1 species
AAAACAGCGAUUAUAAAAGCUAUGAUUUAUUUACUUCUCAAGAGAGCCGAUGGGUGGUGAAAAUCGGUGAAAGAAUAGAUCUAUCCACUUUUGGAGCUGUCGGUGAUGAAUCGAAAGGUUGGUACCCUUUAUCCUACUUAUGUCGAGAGGUCGGUAAUUUACAUACCGGCAAUUUGGGUGGCAACGCGGAUACCUUCCGUCCCAGUA